GGCAGCACGGGUGAGUAGACGCGUGGGAACCUGCCUUAUAGGUGGGGGAUAACACCUCAGAAAUUGCUGCUAAUACCGCAUAAUGCUCUUCGGACCAAAGUGGGGGAUCCUUAAGACCUCGCGCUAUUAGAUGGGCCCGCGUUGGAUUAGCUAGUUGGUGGGGUAAAGGCUCUACCAAGGCGACGAUCCGUAGCUGGUCUGAGAGGAUGAUCAGCCACACUGGGACUGAGACACGGCCCACACUCCUACGGGAGGCAGCAGUGGGGAAUAUUGGACAAUGGGCGAAAGCCUGAUCCAGCAAUGCCGCGUGAGUGAAGAAGGCCUUCGGGUUGUAAAGCUCUUU
rnacentral:rRNA from 1 species